UACAGAGGUCUCAAGCGUUGUUCGGAUUCAUUGGGCGUAAAGGGUGCGUAGGUGGCGCGGUAAGUCGGGUGUGAAAUCUCGGAGCUUAACUCCGAAAUUGCAUUCGAUACUGCCGUGCUUGAGGACUGGAGAGGAGACUGGAAUUCAUGGUGUAGCAGUGAAAUGCGUAGAGAUCGGGAGGAACAUCCGUGGCGAAGGCGACUACCUGGACCAGCACUGACACUGAGGCACGAAAGCGUGGGGAGCAAACAGG
rnacentral:rRNA from 1 species